CAGAUCCCUUGGAUGGACAAUAAUAGCCCUACCACCAGACUAAUUAAGUGGUUGUGUCAAAAUUGACAAAACAGCACAUCCACAAGUAUGAUAGAAGCUGGUGCGCUGGAGGCAAAAUUCCUAAAAAAAUUAUAAUAUGCACUGAUGGGGAUUUGAUCCCUGGACCUCUCAUUUGAAAAUAAGGUUGCUAGCCACUGCACUAAACUCUGUUACUAGCAUGAAAGGAAUUCGAAUGUAUAUCAACUAGCCAAGACGGGAACAAAUAUGAGCUGGUGCACCACAAAAGAAAAUGAAACAUAAAAUCUGGGGCGCACGGGAGUGGAACGGGGACCUCCAUCACAGCAGUUGGCUGCGCUAGCCAACUCAGCUAGCCUACAACUCGUUGACACAACCAGUGCCCACUAUAGACAACAUGUCCUUGCUAGAACGGAUCUAGAGGAGACUGAAUUCAGAUCGGGAGGACUGCUCACAACGGGGAUGCAGAGGCCGACGGCGCGAUGCUUCGGCGAAGAUGGCGGACUCGGAGGCCGGGAAUGGAUAGGGGGGAACGGUCGGGUGCGGAUCCGGCUGGAAGGGCUACGACGAUGAG
rnacentral:lncRNA from 1 species